rnacentral:rRNA from 1 species
AAUUUUGGACAAUGGGCGCAAGCCUGAUCCAGCCAUGCCGCGUGAGUGAAGAAGGCCUACGGGUUGUAAAGCUCUUUCGUACGGAACGAAAUCGUGCAGGCUAAUACCCUGCGCGGAUGACGGUACCGCCAUAAGAAGAACCGGCUAACUACGUGCCAGCCGCCGCGGUAAUACGUAGGGUCCGAGCGUCAAUCGGAAUUACUGGGCCUAAAGCGUGCACAUGCGGUUGAUUAAGACAGGCGUGAAAUCCCCGGGCUUAACCUGGGAACUGCGCUUGUGACUGGUCAGCUAGAGUACGGCAGAGGGGGGUGGAAUUCCACGUGUAGCAGUGAAAUGCGUAGAGAUGUGGAGGGACACCGAUGGCGAAGGCAGCCCCCUGGGCCGAUACUGACGCUCAUGCACGAAAGCGUGGGUAGCAAACAGG